AGCAGUAGGCCGGACUCCCCGCUCUCUCGGUCUUAGCGCCAUCUUCCUUGAGACUCCUGCGCCAUGAGAGCGAAGGUGAGCGGUUCAUAAGUGGUGAGCUUGGGCGGUAGGAAGGAAUUGUGAGGCGGAAAAUCAGGCAGUGAAUCUCCGCCAUGGUUCUUCAUCGGGUUUGCAAACGGUUUGCUUCGGGUUUUCACAGAGCCGAGUACAGGCUUAAGUCGUAGCUGGAGGAAGGUGGGAAAACAAGAUUCGGAUCUAAAAUUGAGCCAGUGCCGCACCAACUCUUGAUUCUUUGUCAAACCUGUUUUCUGAGUAAUGUUCUUACCCGGGCCUACUGCUAACAUUCUUUUUUGUCUUCUCACAUGAUCGGGCUUUUAGUGGCGGAAGAAGAGAAUGCGCAGGCUGAAGCGCAAGAGAAGAAAGAUGAGGCAGAGGUCCAAGUAAACCAUCUUGUGCACCCACGAAGCCUGCGGGAGCAGAAGUAAGGGAUGCUGAAGCCCGGAACAAGUGGUUGGACUGUAUGCUGCUGUCGGUAAUAAGUCUCAGUAGACCCGGAAUGUCACCUCGCCGAGAUCAGCUGGGAAAAUGACUACCUUCCUCACAACCAAAACAGUCCCGCUGGCCCUCUGCCCUGGACCUUUGGCAUUCUGGACUAGUUCUGUUCUCUUGUGGCCAAGUGUAACUCGUGUACAAUAAACCCUCUUGCUGUCAGCUGA
rnacentral:lncRNA from 1 species